AAGUCAAUGUGAAGAUGAUAGUAAAAAUAAAGUGAGAAAGGUGAAAGCGAAGGUACCUUGACAACACAACACGUAAGGAUUGAAGGCAGCAACCCCUUUCCACUCCAAAAUUUGCCAAAAUUUAUAAUCGGCUUCAAUUUGAAUGAUUCUUAGCUUGUUGCAAGGCUGACUUGAAGACGCUUUUGAUCCAAUAAUCUUCGUUGCAAUCUAAUGAUUCAGUCGUGAGAAUUCCUCCUUUAAAGUUGAGUGAUGCAAACUACUGCGGUGACCAACCCACUUCACUUAGAAAUUCACUUAACAUUCAGAUUAUCUUCAAAUUCAACAAAACUUAUGCCUUUCAGAGCUUAACUUAUAAAGCUUGAUGCUUCUAAAAUUUCAAAAAAA
rnacentral:lncRNA from 1 species